CCUCAUGAAAUGCACGGGCCGACUCAGCAGAUCUGGGCCACGCCGAGAGGCUGGAUGUGACCAGGUGAGGCCCAGCGGGGCCGCACUGCAUCUCGGAGCCCCCGCAGGAGGAAGUGCCGGUGUCAGGGGCGAACCAGCCCAGACGCGCCCC